AACCCGGCACAUAACCACAACCUGAAACCACCAGUUCCGCAUGGAUCACUGAAGUUGAGCACGGUUGCGCGUGGUUAGUACCCGGAUGGGUGACCAUCUGGCCAAUAGCAUGCUGCUAGCUUA
rnacentral:rRNA from 1 species